rnacentral:rRNA from 1 species
AUGACUCUAUUUGGAGUGAAUGCUGAAGCUUUUAUCAACAAAGCCUCGUUUUUGGUCACAAACAACAACCAGGAAGUUCUGAACUUACAAUACAAGGUCCGCUAUGCGAAAAUUUUAGAUCUAAAGCGUAAAUUCUUGGAAGCUGCACUUCGAUACUCUGGUAUCUCUCAAAUUGAGCAGCGCCAAAUUGGGGAUGAUAUGGACCAACAAAAUGAUCUCAUUGCAAGGCGGACAUAUAGGCAACCAAUGUCAAGAGAGUUUUCCCCCUUCUUUUCUUCCCUCACGCGACUCCUUCGGUUCUGCCCCCUGUCGAUCCCCCCAAUCUCACCUUCCGUACGCACAGCCAACUCCGCCUCCGCCUCCUUCGUGUGGCCAGCAGCGGCACACAGCACACAUUUUUCGCUGAGAUUGUUGCAUGACAGGAUCGACGGUGGCAGGCGGGUCUGCUGCCCCAACGACGUGUCUGAACAUGGCACAGUUCCAACAUCAACUCAAUCAUGGGGCACAUCUGCAACAGUUAGAUAUUUUCAUCCAGCUCCUGUACCACCACAAGCAUCACAAUUACAGAUGGAUCCUUCUUUGCAUACUGGAGCACUCUCUGGUUCGAACUAUGUUCCACCUGCAGCAUUUGGUGUUGGUAGUGUAUCUGAAGCAUUUCCUACAGACACAAAACACUCUUUUCAAUGUUGCAAAACGGUCAAAGAAAAACCACCAAAAAGAGCUAACCAAACUGGCAGUAGAAGCAUUGGUACAGCAAAAUCAAUCGAAGCUGAUGAGGAGGUUGGUCUGUUAGAUUGGGUGGAGGAUGAAGUCGAAGCGGCACAGAUGGCAUCAGUCAACAAGGAAAUUAAACGUGUGUUGACAGAAGUUCUUCUGAAGGUUUCCGAUGAUCUUUUUGAUGAGACCGCAAUCGAAGUUAUGAAUGAAGAUGAUACAUCAGCUGAACCAAAUGAGACCACUGGUGUGUCUAGCUCAAGGAGCUUGGUCUGGGAGAAUCAAAAUUAUGAUUCAGAUGAUGAGGGUGAUGGUGAUGGUGAUGGUGAUGAUGAUGGUAAGGGUUCAAUUCCAAAUUUAUCAUCUAAAAUUGAAGUUGGUGCAACUCAUCCUAAAGAAACAUGUAAUUCAAGCUCUGAAAUGCAUCCUUCCUUGCUAUGA